rnacentral:rRNA from 1 species
GAUGAACGCUGGCGGCGUGCCUAAUACAUGCAAGUCGAGCGAACAGACGUGGAGCUUGCUCCUCUGACGUUAGCGGCGGACGGGUGAGUAACACGUGGAUAACCUACCUAUAAGACUGGGAUAACUUCGGGAAACCGGAGCUAAUACCGGAUAAUAUAUUGAACCGCAUGGUUCAAUAGUGAAAGACGGUUUUGCUGUCUCUUAUAGCUGGAUCCGCGUCGCAUUAGCUAGUUGGUAAGGUAACGACUUACCAAGGCAACGAAGCGUAGCCGAACUGGAAGAGUGGUCGGCGACACGGGAACUUGACCACGGUCCAUACUCCUGAGGGAGGCAGCAGUAUGGAAUCGGCCGCAAUAGGCGGAAGCCUGACGGAGCGACGCCGCGCGAGUGAUGAAGAUCUUCGGAGCGUAAAACUCGCUUAUUAGUGAAGAACAAAUGUGUAAGUAACUGUGGACGACUUGACGGUACCUAAUCAGAAAGCCACGGCUAACUACGUG